GUCUCGUUCGUAUGAACUCAUGAUUUAAAUAUUACCGAAAAUACUGAACAAUUUCAGUUCUAUAUAUGAAUUGUGGUGUUCUAACAUCAUUCUAAAGAAUCAUAUUUCUCUUUACAGACACUGUCUACUUUUAAAAGUCCAGAUAUACAUUCUCGGUACAAGAUUGUGAGAGAAUUCAAAUGAUCCUGGUCAUCUUCCAUUAAAAUAUUUCAAACUGAAGAAUCAAAUGAUGGCAAAGUCUUUCAAAUCGAGUAUCCUUUUAUUAAACUGGAAUUCAAACCCAAAAGUUGGAUAAAGAUUCUUGCAGAAAUGAUUCCGCCUUCCUUCCACAUUACAGUAUGCAUCAUGUAAAAAGGAUGUCAUAUAUUCCGCCUUCCUUCCACAUUACAGUAUGCAUCAUGUAAAAAGGAUGUCAUAUAUUACGCCACCCUCCCACAGUGCAGUAUACACGAAGUGAAUACGACGCCAUAUAAAUAUAU